rnacentral:rRNA from 1 species
AGUCGAACGAUGAAGCCAGCUUGCUGGUGGAUUAGUGGCGAACGGGUGAGUAACACGUGGGUGAUCUGCCCCAAACUUUGGGAUAAGCCUGGGAAACUGGGUCUAAUACCGAAUAUGACCGAUACUCGCAUGGGUGUUGGUGGAAAGCUCCGGCGGUUUGGGAUGGGCCCGCGGCCUAUCAGCUUGUUGGUGGGGUAAUGGCCUACCAAGGCGACGACGGGUAGCCGGCCUGAGAGGGCGACCGGCCACACUGGGACUGAGACACGGCCCAGACUCCUACGGGAGGCAGCAGUGGGGAAUAUUGCACAAUGGGCGCAAGCCUGAUGCAGCGACGCCGCGUGAGGGAUGACGGCCUUCGGGUUGUAAACCUCUUUCACCAGGGACGAAGCGAAAGUGACGGUACCUGGAGAAGAAGCACCGGCCAACUACGUGCCAGCAGCCGCGGUAAUACGUAGGGUGCGAGCGUUGUCCGGAAUUACUGGGCGUAAAGAGCUCGUAGGCGGUUUGUCGCGUCGUUCGUGAAAACUUGGGGCUUAACUCCAAGCGUGCGGGCGAUACGGGCAGACUUGAGUACUACAGGGGAGACUGGAAUUCCUGGUGUAGCGGUGAAAUGCGCAGAUAUCAGGAGGAACACCGGUGGCGAAGGCGGGUCUCUGGGUAGUAACUGACGCUGAGGA